GUCGUCCAUGCCGAACUGCUGGACGGCCGCGGCGCUGUCGCCGCCGCCGAUGAUGCUGAUCGCCCCGUUCCGGGUCGCCGCGGCGACG
rnacentral:tRNA from 1 species